AGUAACCAUGGUAACAUCCUGAAGCCUUGUGGGAGAUUCCUCCAAGCUUUGACCUCUCUACCUCCAGCCCUCCAUUUUCUCUCCCACUGUCUUUUGUUUCCUUGACCCAUUCCAUUUUUGUGGAUUCCUACCUGUACCUCAAACUCUGGAAUCGCUCCUGAGAGACAGGUGCAUGCCUGCGCCACCCACAGCGUUGGUCCCCUGGGGCAGGCAAGGGUCUUUCAGCUUUGCUCCCUGCACCCUGUUCAGCACUGAACCUAGCAGACAACAGAGAGUGAGGAUGUGUUUGUGAAUGAACGUCUGCACAGGUGGAUGAUGGGAGUUCGACGCUGACUUGCCAGGUACAAAGCCAUCAAUGACACAUUUCUGGUGCCCACCAGAACUUCCAGACCUCACAGGAGUCUAUUAUCAAUGAGCAGGCCUUUUCUAGGAUCUCUCCCCUCCUCCAACAAUAAACAGUCAGUGAAACAAAGCAAAAGUAGCCGUUGCAAAGAUCUACUUGUGGGUACAGUUCUUAGUCACUGCUAGUGUAGACUGGCCCUCCGAGAAUUCCUGUGAGAUUUCUUCAGUAUCAGAUAUGCACUAGUGAAUUUUAGUCAAUGUACUUAGAAGUUUGGGGGCUAAGAAACCUCCCUGGAAGCUUUUCAGAGGGAAGUUUCAAAUGUGUCCAGCCACAGGUCUGUUUCACCUGGCUCCAUACUUGCUGUCUGCAAACGCGGCUCAGCAGAGAACCGCCCCCUACCCUACCCCCCGCCCCGGGUUCGCAGGCGUUGGCUAUGUCUGCCGUGAGGAAGAGUGUUGAGUAUGGCUGUGGGUAGGCCAUGUGAGCCUGCUCCUUGUCUACCUUCCGUCUGGCACUGGGUACCUCCUCAGACAACCAAGGCCAAAGUAGGCAGGGCAGUGUCGCCCCCACAGUCUCUCAUUAGGUCGAUGCCCCGAGUAUUUUCUGAACCCGCAGCACAGAGGAAUACCGCGCGGUGGCGGUCAGUGUAGGACCUGUCGCGAUCUCUGCCACCCAUUUUUAUCCUCUCCACACCAAAGCCUCAGAAGAGAACCUUUGAGGGCAGCACACUGUUCUUAAUCCAUUUCACAGAGGGGGAAACUGAAUUUCCCCGCUUCACAAAAUUAUCAAGUGGAGGGAGGAGAACCUAAAUUGGCGUGGCUGGCGCUAGGGUGUGUGAGAUUCACAGAGAACCUCAGGGAAAGGCGAGAGAGCAGAACGCGCAUGCUUGGAGUGCAAGUUCUCAGAAGGAUCUUUACCAUGGACCCCAUCACAGAACCACGCCUCUCACGUGUGGAAAUCCUGGAUGUUGAAAGAUCAGUGAAGUAGUUUUUACAUCUGUGCUUAUGUGGAGCACAGAGUUGCAUCUGCAUGACUGAGGUGUUUUGGAGUGGUCUUGGGCAGCAGACCUCCUCUUCCUCAAUAAAAUGGUUUUCUAGGUCACAGACAACUAAGAGAUGCAAGAAUUUUGGAAUUUGACUUGUCUAUUAAAUCAAGCACCUUUUGAACUUUGCUCCAGAGAUAAAGAAAUGAAUAUUCACUAACUGCUCCUUAAUCGUUGUUCACCUGGCACAACGAUUUCCUAAUCCACGAGUCCAAAGAGAAAGGUCUCUCCCUCAUUUCAUAGGUGAGUAAAUAAAUGUAGGCUCACAGGAGGAAACUGGCUGGUCUACAGUAAGGGACAGAACCAGGAUGUGAACUCACUGCUAAGCUCCGAGUGUGGCUAUCUCUGAGGGGCCUCCUAAUUACCUCCUAGUAACACACAAUCUCCUCUCCCUGAGCAUCCCAACAAGUGGACCAUGGCUCUCCCUCAGCAAAGAGAAUCCACCAGUCACGUGGACAGCGCACACAACACAACUCUAAAUGGGUGUUCAGUGAGCUUAGCUUAGACUCAGAGCCCCACAGAAAGGAUCCGAGGAUCACCUUUGAAGAGACUCUGUGGUAGUUAGUGUACAGCGAUUCCACUGGUGCUCUCAGGGACCUAGCAGCUGCUUCCGCCCGCUCCAGGCCUGGGCUGACCCAACCAGACUUCAAGCACCUGCUGAAGAGAACUCAAGGCUGCCCAGAAUCCUUCCUCUCUGUUUUGGCCGACACCUGUGUCCCAGCAGGGAAUGUGGGUGCCCACCUUCAGGAGGUCCCAGUUAACAGACCCAGCACUCAGCCCCUUUGUACGAAUCAAGGCAGCCUUCAGUCCAUCCUGGAUUUUAUUCCCUACUACGCUGGAUUUAUUGAUUAAAAAUGCCCUAACCA